rnacentral:rRNA from 1 species
UCUCAAAGCCCCGACAAGUAGGGUGGCGUGCCGGUGCGCGUUGAAGGCCAAGACGUGAGUCAGGCUGGAGCCGCCUGUAGUGCAGAUGUGGGUGGUAGUAGCAAGUACUCUGGUGAACCAACCUGGAGCUGUGAGGUCUGGAUCAGGGUUCCAUGUCAACAGUGAUUGAACAUGGGUGAGUCGAUCCUAAGCCAACUGUGAAAGCAGUGACAUCCCGACAAAGGGGCAUUACAUACGCUGCACUUACACCCCCACGGCAAAGCUCUGAGAUAUCUCUCUCUCUCUCUCUCUGACGAUAAAGGUGUCUGGUACGGAAUAUGCGCACGCACGGUGAUCACUACAAAUACGUGUGUGAGUGUGUGCGCUUGUAUGGUUACGCUCAURAGCGUUGUUGCUCUCUGGUAAAAGGAUAAAGCAUAAGAGAGAGAGACACACAGAGUGUGGGUGAGCGUGAGUUUGCUCUCGCAUGAGCCCCCUGCGUCUGGUUCUAUGUCUGGCGAAAGGGAAUGGGGACUUUGUUCCUUGACCGGUCCCGGCACCCUCGAUUGGCUUUGCCAAUUAAUGGUCCAUGCAAAUGGAACCAGGCCACAGCCGCUGGCAGUCGCCCGAGGAAGAGUUUUCUGUUCUGCUUAACGCACGAGGUCAUCCCUGGAAACAGUUCGGCUGGCGAAAGGGUGCCCCGUUGCGGCAGAGCGCCACGACUGUCGUGCGCGUCUCGGUGUUCCUGCCGGUCCGUGAAGACGUGGUCGAGGGGAUUGCUCUUGUAUCAACGAAACGCCCGACAAGUUCGGGACGGACCGUACCCUAUAUCCGCAUCUGGUCUCCAAGGUUCGUAGCCUCUGCAGAGUCAGACACAUGUAGGUAAGGGAAGUCGGCAAACUCGAUCCGUAACUUCGGGAAAAGGAUUGGCUCUGAGGGCCGAGCUGGGCCGGGCCUUGCCUGCAAAGCAGUACCUAUAGUGACCGGAGUUUCAGGAGUGCGAGGGGCUCUAGUAGCUGCUCGCGCGUGUGUGCGUUCGCGCGUGCGCGCGUGUGGGCACGAACGAGUCCACCGCUCCGCUCCAACCACGAACGGCUGUGACGGCAAGGGCUCUGGGCGGGAGCGAUCAAACCGUUGGCCUCCAGCUCGUCUGGUUGGCGGCGGUGCUCCGUCUGACCCCUACGGCUCCAGCGGCUAGCGGCUAACUCAGAACUGUCAUGGACCAAGGGAAUCCGACUGUCU